AAAUACAUCUGUUAGCAAGGGCCGGGCAAGACCGGUGCCAGCCGCCGCGGUAACACCGGCGGCCCGAGUGGUGAUCGUGAUUAUUGGGUCUAAAGGGUCCGUAGCCGGUUUGGUCAGUCCUCCGGGAAAUCUGAUAGCUCAACUAUUAGGCUUUCGGGGGAUACUGCCAGGCUUGGAACCGGGAGAGGUAAGAGGUACUACAGGGGUAGGAGUGAAAUCUUGUAAUCCCUGUGGGACCACCUGUGGCGAAGGCGUCUUACCAGAACGGGUUCGACGGUGAGGGACGAAAGCUGGGGGCACGAACCGGAUUAGAUACCCGGGUAGUCCCAGCCGUAAACGAUGCUCGCUAGGUGUCAGGCAUGGCGCGACCGUGUCUGGUGCCGCAGGGAAGCCGUGAAGCGAGCCACCUGGGAAGUACGGCCGCAAGGCUGAAACUUAA
rnacentral:rRNA from 1 species